rnacentral:rRNA from 1 species
CUCAAAUUUGAAAUCUGGCGUCCUCAGGGCGUCCGAGUUGUAAUCUAUAGAGGCGUUUUCCGUGCCGGACCGUGUCCAAGUUCCUUGGAACAGGAUAUCAAAGAGGGUGACAAUCCCGUACUUGACACGACGACCGGUGCUCUGUGAUACGUCUUCUACGAGUCGAGUUGUUUGGGAAUGCAGCUCAAAAUGGGUGGUGAGUUCCAUCUAAAGCUAAAUAUUGGCGAGAGACCGAUAGCGAACAAGUACCGUGAGGGAAAGAUGAAAAGCACUUUGGAAAGAGAGUUAAACAGUACGUGAAAUUGUUGAAAGGGAAACGAUUGAAGUCAGUCGUGACCGAGAGGCUCAGCCGGUUCUGCCGGUGUAUUCCCCUCGGUCGGGUCAACAUCAGUUUUGUCCGGUGGAUAAGGGCGGUAGGAAGGUGGCACCCUCGGGUGUGUUAUAGCCUGCCGUCGCAUACAUCGGGUGAGACUGAGGAACGCAGCUCGCCUUUAUGGCCGGGGUUCGCCCACGUCCGAGCUUAGGAUGUUGACAUAAUGGCUUUAAACGACCCGUCUUGAAAACACGGGAC